ensembl:lncRNA
CAUUGAACAAUGGAUUGACUGGAUCAACUGAUGAAACAUGGACAUCAUUCAUCUGCUCCUGCUCCUACUGUCAUGCAUAAUUCAAGAGACGGGCAGCGUGAAAGUCGUUUGGGACAACAGGUUGGCUUUAAAGGAUUCCUGGGUGCAGUUUGAAUGCCUAACAGCAGGAUGGUACCCUGCGCCCACUGUGCAAUGGCAGGUGAAAGAAAAAGAGGGGAAAGAGACAAAACACAUCAGCAGCAGUGAAACGACCAAACUCAACAUCAUGGCAACGAAGAGCUCAGAUGUGUCUUGUCUGGCGUCCGUGUCUGCCCUGCUCACGCCACUGAAGAGCUGCGCCCGUCUGACAGUGGUUGUAGAGGUGGGGCGGGAGAAGGAGGAAGAUGUCUGCAGCGUGGUGCCCCUGGCAAUAAUGUCCUCCCUCUCUGCUCUUCUGCUGCUCCUCCUGCUCUGUAUCUGCACCGUCCUCUGGCUCAGACGAAGGAGACAAGCACGAGCCGGCACACAGGAGGUAGUAAGGUCCGACCAAUCGGUGAGCGGGAGGAGUUCGGUUGCCGAGGCGACAGCCGGGAAGGUCAACCUGGGAUAUUCUAGUGACGGCCCCACAGAUGCAGUUCACAAUGAGCUAAUCAUGGAAACCUUUAGGCAGGAGGACUUUGUCAGCUUUCACAAGGUCCCUGAUGUCAUAUCCCCCAGCAACCUGUCUCCACACGGGGACGGACCAGCCCAGGAUGUGGUGUAUUUUUUAGGAUUUCUGUGUGAUUCUUCACCUCCCUCAACAACCGCAAAAUAAAUAGCAAAUCAUACAAUUGGCAGCUUAUCCUUUGUUGGAAGGGAAACACUCUUUCACUUCACUGAAAGCCAAUGCACAUUCUGAUUGGCCCUUUCGGCUUUAGAUGAGAUAUAUCUCUGCUGCCAGCCACCUUGAUUAGCCAAAUAUGAUUUCAAGCCUAUAAGAGAAUGGAAUGGCGGCUAAAUCUCUGCAAACACAGCUGAGAAACACAAUUUUGAAGGUGCAUAUUUUCAUAUAAUAAGGAACCACAAAUACAGCAGGGUGGGGGGGGGGUCAAAGCCAGAGAUCUGGAGAAAUCAAGGCCAGAGGCUGACAAAACACAAGCGGGCCUUCUGCUGAAGAAUAAAAACAAGCCAACACAGAAGUAAAAAAAAAGAAUUACUACUACAGUGAUGGAAAGUAGCCUUGAUUUAGAAAACUCGAUGUAAUCCAAAACCAGACCAAAUCAAAACCAAGGCACAAAAAGAAAAAAAUCAAACAAAUCAGCAGGUUGUGGCCUCUUCUAAAAACCAUAAGACAGUUGAGCAUGAUGCUACGUGACACAACACUGUGAGGCGUAUGGGCAGUUAUCAAUGCAGAAGCAACCAGUGGAUUUCUGUCAAACAAAGAGAAAGGUGGACACAGUGUUGACUUUUAAAAGAAAAAAGGUCCCGGCCUAUAUAUCUAUAUUAAAAGCUAAAAAUGGAUCUAGUGUGCUGAAGAAAUAUAUUAUUUCUUAGACUCCUCAUGGCAACAAAUUCAAGAAUAUAAUAUAAGAAUUUACAAAGACUAGUGAAAACCAAUUCAACACCCACGUUCUAUUGCAACGAAAGCAAUCACUAUCAGCCAAUCUUUUUUUCGUUCUAAAUUUAGGUGGUGCGGCUUGUAUUCAAGUGCGCUCUAUAGUCAGGAAAUGAUGGUAAAAGUGCUCUGGGGUGUGAGAGAGGGAAGAUGCAUUUCAUCUACAUAUGACCCGCACUGGCCUAGCUGCAGGGCACACCAACAACCACCAGGAGGAACUCUGUUGUCCUACUGCAGCCAUGACUAAAUUACUCUUAUAAUACAUAUUAAUAAUACAAUGUAUUUCACACAACCACGACCACCACAACUAAUAUAACUGCCAAAACUCCUUCUACCUCAUCAUCAAGCACCACCUUCUCUAAAUAACCCCAAAGUCACUGUCUACCACAGCUACGCCUCCACAUGACUCUAUAGUCAAAGCAGCACGCCUGAAGCCUUCGCAGGAGAGGAGAGGGCUGGAGUAGCUCACAUCCAACACUGCAAAACAAAUGUGGAAUUGAAAAAAUACUGCAAUUGCCAUUCUUAUUCCGGACUGAACACACUGCCACUAACACUACAACUAGCACCAUCGCAACACAUACAGCAACUACACCGACCACAACAUCCGCCGCUACCCUCUGA